rnacentral:lncRNA from 1 species
UCGUCUGUACCUUCCUGUAAACGUUCUGUACCUUUUUUGCUAUUUUAUUCCCCAGUGCAAGCGCUGUGACCAGUGGCCACACGGCCUCUCCCACCGGCCUCCGUGGUCGGGCCCCUUGUCUGCCUGUAGAUGCUCUAGCAAUGUGGCUCCCACUGUCGCCAGUUCUUGCCGGUGGUGUUUCCUGGUGUGUCUGUAAGGUGGUUCCGUGUAAAAGGCCCCUCGCGUGUGGGAGUCCGCAGCCCCUGUUCUGAGGGCUGGUGGUGGCACGCGCUAGUUCCUGUCUGUGUCACGGUGUUUGCACGGCAGCAGCCGGGCCGUAAUAAAGGUGGGAUUUGCACAGUCGUGGCCACUGGGUGCUCACGCAGAGCUUGUCUGUUCUUGGCAUUUGUAUGGAAAGUCUCACAAUUGGCAGCAGGUUGAAAGGCUUUUUCUCAGACAGAUUCUCGGAAUGAUGGUCUGCCUCCCGCCUUGUGCCAAGAGGCCCGGAGCCCAAGGAGGACAAGACCCCGUGGGUCACGGUGUGUACCUGCGGGCCAGGAGGUGACUCUAGGGAACAAGGUGGACGUUCUUAGCUGAAAAGGAGCCAGCGGCCCUGGAGUGUCCUGCGCCAUGUUGCAGACAGCUGUUUCCUGUGCCCGUGAAGGCUGGGGUGCGGGAGGGCCCCCGGUGGUGGGCUCCGGUCUGAGGGGCACAGGCUGGUGCCCGUCCCCGUUGCCGACCUCAGGGCUGGCGGCUUCUUGGAGCCUUCGGAGGCCAGGGGACGAAUCCUGUGCGGCCUUCAGGUGGACGGGGCCGGCGGAGGAAGCGGGGGCUGCCCGCGGCUCACGGGGAGUAUGACAGUUAGAAAGGCAUGUGGGAAGGAGCCUCCUGCAGCCCGGCCCCUCCUGUGGAAGCAGACGUACCAGUGGGGUCUCCGUUCUAGAAGCGCUAACACUCGGGCCGGGGCCGUGGUGCAGCACAUCGGUGGAAAACGCCGUGCCACGUGCCGGCGUCAGGGCUGGCCCGGCUCCGCUCACGGCUGCCGAGGGGCUGGCAGCGCGUUGGUUCAGGGUUACAGCUCGCCCGGGACGGGGCGCCGUGUGUGCCGAGCCGAGUCCUUGAAUAGAGUUUAUUUUUUCUAUAUUUGAAUUCUCUGUUGUAGAUUUGUGUAAAGGUACAUUCUCUUUUUGAAAAUAAAGAUUUUCAUGUCUUGUAA